rnacentral:rRNA from 1 species
AUACGGAGGAUCCGAGCGUUAUCCGGAUUUAUUGGGUUUAAAGGGUGCGUAGGUGGUUUGAUAAGUCAGCGGUGAAAGUUUGCAGCUUAACUGUAAAAAUGCCGUUGAAACUGUCGGACUUGAGUGUAAAUGAGGUAGGCGGAAUGCGUGGUGUAGCGGUGAAAUGCAUAGAUAUCACUCAGAACACCGAUUGCGAAGGCAUCUGGCGAAUCCGCUACUGACGCUGAGGCACGAAAGGGUGGGGAUAGAACAGGAUUAGAUCCCCUGGUUUUCCACGCCGUAAACGAUGAUGGCUAACCGCCGGCGACACAAUGUCGGUGGCCAAGCGAAAGCGAUAAGCCAUCCACCUGGGGAGUACGACCGCAAGGUUGAAACUCAAAUGAAUUGACGGGG